rnacentral:tRNA from 1 species
GAGGCACUAGUAAAACAUAUUACCUUGCCUUGUCGAGGCAAAAUUGUGGGUUAAAACCCCACGUGCCUUA